UACGUAGGGUGCAGGCGUUAAUCGGAAUUACUGGGCGUAAAGCGUGCGCAGGCGGUCUUUUAAGUCAGAUGUGAAAUCCCCGGGCUUAACCUGGGAACUGCGUUUGAAACUGGAAGGCUAGAGUGUGGCAGAGGGGGGUGGAAUUCCACGUGUAGCAGUGAAAUGCGUAGAGAUGUGGAGGAACACCGAUGACGAAGGCAGCCCCCUGGGCUAACACUGACGCUCAUGCACGAAAGCGUGGGGAGCAAACAGG
rnacentral:rRNA from 1 species